UAAAGCUAAAAAGAGCGCAGGGCGGAUGCCUUGGCAUUGGGAACCGAUGAAGGACGUGGUUAACUGCGAAAAGCUGCGGUGAGUUGUAAGCGAACAUAGACCCGCAGAUAUCCGAAUGGAGCAAUCCAUAUGAGUGAAGCUCAUAUAUCAUAUACUGAAUCAAUAGGUAUAUGAAGGGAACCUCCUGAACUGAAACAUCUAAGUAGGGAGAGGAAGAGAAAUCAACCGAGAUUUUGUGAGUAGUGGCGAGCGAAAGCGAAAGAGGCCAAACCGUAAUCAGCAAUGAAUACGGGGUUGCGGACUGCAUUUAGCAUUGCUGAGCUUUAAUAGAACAGGAUGGGAAGCCUGACCGAAGAGUGUGAUAGUCACGUAAAUGAAAGAGUGAAGCAGCGAGCAGUAUCCAGAGUACCGCGGGACACGUGAAACCCCGUGGGAAGCUGGGGGGACCACCCUCCAAGCCUAAAUAUUCCCCAAUGACCGAUAGCGAAGAGUACUGUGAAGGAAAGGUGAAAAGGACCCCGGGAGGGGAGUGAAAAAGAACCUGAAACCCUGUGCUUACAAGCACUGAGAGCACGUCAAUGUGUGAUCAGGUACCUUUUGUAGAAUGGUCCGGCGAGUUAUCAUAUGUAGCGAGGUUAAGUACUUAAGGUACGGAGCCGCAGCGAGAGCGAGUCUGAAAAGGGCGAUAAAGUUGCAUGUGAUAGACCCGAAACCGAGUGACCUAGCCAUGUCCAGGCUGAAGUGGAGGUAAAACUCCAUGGAGGGCCGAACCGACCCCCGUUGAAAAGGUGGCGGAUGAGGUGUGGCUAGCGGAGAAAUUCCAAUCGAACUCGGAUAUAGCUGGUUCUCCCCGAAAUAGGUUUACGCCUAGCCUCGUGGUAAAGCUUCUUGGAGGUAGAGCACUGAAUAGACGAUGGCGUCGUAUAGAUGUACUGAAUUUAAUCAAACUCCGAAUGCCAGGAAAGUAUACACGGGAGUCAGUGUAUGGGUGAUAACGUCCAUACGCGAGAGGAAAACAAUCCAGACCACCAGCUAAGGUCCCAAAUUUCAUGUUAAGUGGGAAAGGAUGUGGAGUUGUCUAAACAGCUAGGAGGUUGGCUUAGAAGCAGCCAUCCUUUAAAGAGUGCGUAAUAGCUCACUAGUCGAAUGACACUGCGCCGAAAAUGUACCGGGGCUAAACAUGAAACCGAAGCUGUGGAUUUUAUAGAUAAUAUAAAAUGGUAGGGGAGCGUUCUAAUUGCGACGAAGAUGGAUCGUGAGGACUGUUGGAGCGAUUAGAAGUGAGAAUGCCGGUGUGAGUAGCGCAAGAAGGGUGAGAAUCCCUUCCACCGUUUGCCUAAGGGUUCCUGGGGAAGGUUCGUCCUCCCAGGGUAAGUCGGGUCCUAAGACGAGGCCGAAAGGCGUAGCCGAUGGACAACAGGUUGAUAUUCCUGUACCACCUAUAUAACUGAUGGAGUGACGAAGGAGGCUAUAGAAAGCCAGUUAAUGGAUUCUGGUCUAAGCACAUAGGCGUACAUAUAGGCAAAUCCGUAUGUAAUGUAGCUGAAGUGUUAUGGUGAAGGUAAUAGCAAUAUUACUGAAAUUUCUAGACGCCAAACUUCCAAGAAAAGCUUCUAGGGUUAAUUAUAUAGGUGCCCGUACCCAGAACCGACACAGGUAGGCAAGGAGAGUAUCCUAAGGUGAGCGAGAGAACUAUGGUUAAGGAACUCGGCAAAAUGACCCCGUAACUUCGGGAGAAGGGGUGGUCUAGCGAUAGACCCGCAGUAAAGAGUCCCAGGCAACUGUUUACCAAAAACACAGCUCUCUGCUAAAUCGAAAGAUGAUGUAUAGGGGGUGACACUUGCCCAGUGCUGGAAGGUUAAGAGGAGAGGUUAGUAAUGACUUCGGUUAUAUUUACGAAGCUUCGAAUUGAAGCCCCAGUGAACGGCGGCCGUAACUAUAACGGUCCUAAGGUAGCGAAAUUCCUUGUCAGGUAAGUUCUGACCCGCACGAAAGGCGUAAUGAUUUGGGCACUGUCUCAACAGCCCGCCCGGCGAAAUUGUAGUACCGGUGAAGAUGCCGGUUACCCGCGACAAGACGGAAAGACCCCAUGGAGCUUUACUGUAGCCUAAUAUUGGGUUUCGAUGUUGCAUGCACAGGAUAGAUGGGACUCUGGGAAACCAGUGCUUUGGCGCUGGCGGAGAGGCCGUUGGGAUACCAUCCUUGCGAUAUUGGAAUUCUAACCUGCGGCUCUGAAUCGAGUCGGGGGACAUUGUUAGGUGGGCAGUUUGACUGGGGCGGUCGCCUCCUAAAAAGUAACGGAGGCGUUCAAAGGUUCGCUCAGCUUGAACGGAAAUCAAGCAAAAGAGUGCAAACGCAGAAGCGAGCCUAACUGCGAGACUGACGGGUCGAGCAGUAACGAAAGUUGGAGUUAG
rnacentral:rRNA from 1 species